UACAGGGGGGGCAAGCGUUGUUCGGAAUUACUGGGCGUAAAGGGCGCGUAGGCGGCCUACUAAGUCAGACGUGAAAUCCCCCGGCUUAACCUGGGAACUGCGUCUGAUACUGGAAGGCUUGAGGAUGGGAGAGGGAUGUAGAAUUCCAGGUGUAGCGGUGAAAUGCGUAGAUAUCUGGAGGAAUACCGGUGGCGAAGGCGGCAUCCUGGACCAUUACUGACGCUGAGGCGCGAAAAGCUAGGGGAGCAAACAGG
rnacentral:rRNA from 1 species